rnacentral:ncRNA from 1 species
UUAACAGGGGUGCCGCAAGGCUGAGACGGAGAUUCCGAACCCUUUAACCUGAUAUGGAUAAUACCGGCGUAGGGAGUUAAACA